rnacentral:rRNA from 1 species
GCAGAGGAUGCUUUUGGCGCGGUGCCUUCCGAGUUCCCUGGAACGGGACGCCUUAGAGGGUGAGAGCCCCGUACGGUUGGACACCAAGCCUCUGUAAAGCUCCUUCGACGAGUCGAGUAGUUUGGGAAUGCUGCUCUAAAUGGGAGGUAAAUUUCUUCUAAAGCUAAAUAUUGGCCAGAGACCGAUAGCGCACAAGUAGAGUGAUCGAAAGAUGAAAAGCACUUUGAAAAGAGGGUUAAACAGCACGUGAAAUUGUUGAAAGGGAAGCGUUUGCGACCAGACCUUUUCCUGGCGGAUCAUCCGGUGGUCCCCACCGGUGCACUUCGCCAGGUCGAGGCCAGCAUCGGUCUCUGCGGGGGGAUAAAAGCUCAGGGAACGUAGCUCCUCCGGGAGUGUUAUAGCCCUCUGCAUAAUACCCUCGCGGGGACCGAGGACCGCGCCUUCGGGCAAGGAUGCUGGCGUAAUGGUUGUCAACGACCCGUCUUGAAACACGGACCAAGGAGUCGAACAUUUGUGCGAGUGUUUGGGUGUUAAACCCUCACGCGUAAUGAAAGUGAACGGAGGUGAGAGCCCUUACGGGUGCAUCAUCGACCGAUCCUGAUGUCUUCGGAUGGAUUUGAGUAAGAGCAUAACUGUUCGGACCCGAAAGAUGGUGAACUAUGCGUGGAUAGGGUGAAGCCAGAGGAAACUCUGGUGGAGGCUCGCAGCGGUUCUGACGUGCAAAUCGAUCGUCAAAUCUGCGCAUGGGGGCGAAAGACUUAUCGA